rnacentral:rRNA from 1 species
UACGAAGGGGGCUAGCGUUGUUCGGAAUUACUGGGCGUAAAGGGCGCGUAGGCGGCCCGCUAAGUCGAACGUGAAAUCCCCGAGCUCAACUCGGGAACUGCGUCCGAUACUGGCGGGCUUGAAUCCGGGAGAGGGAUGCGGAAUUCCAGGUGUAGCGGUGAAAUGCGUAGAUAUCUGGAGGAACACCGGUGGCGAAGGCGGCAUCCUGGACCGGCAUUGACGCUGAGGCGCGAAAGCUAGGGGAGCAAACAGG